UGGGGAAUUUUGGACAAUGGGCGAAAGCCUGAUCCAGCAAUGCCGCGUGUGUGAAGAAGGCCUUCGGGUUGUAAAGCACUUUUGUCCGGAAAGAAAUCCUUGGCUCUAAUACAGUCGGGGGAUGACGGUACCGGAAGAAUAAGCACCGGCUAACUACGUGCCAGCAGCCGCGGUAAUACGUAGGGUGCAAGCGUUAAUCGGAAUUACUGGGCGUAAAGCGUGCGCAGGCGGUUUGCUAAGACCGAUGUGAAAUCCCCGGGCUCAACCUGGGAACUGCAUUGGUGACUGGCAGGCUAGAGUAUGGCAGAGGGGGGUAGAAUUCCACGUGUAGCAGUGAAAUGCGUAGAGAUGUGGAGGAAUACCGAUGGCGAAGGCAGCCCCCUGGGCCAAAUACUGACGCUCAUGCACGAAAGCGUGGGGGAGCAAAACAGGAUUAGAUACCCUGGUAGUCCACGCCCUAAACGAUGUCAACUAGUUGUUGGGGAUUCAUUUCCUUAGUAACGUAGCUAACGCGUGAAGUUGACCGCCUGGGGAGUACGGUCGCAAGAUUAAAACUUAAAGGAAUUGACGGGGUCAUAGCUGUUUCCU
rnacentral:rRNA from 1 species